rnacentral:rRNA from 1 species
UUUAUGGAGAGUUUGAUCCUGGCUCAGGAUGAACGCUGGCGGCGUGCCUAAUACAUGCAAGUCGAGCGAACGGAUGAGAAGCUUGCUUCUCUGAUGUUAGCGGCGGACGGGUGAGUAACACGUGGAUAACCUACCUAUAAGACUGGGAUAACUUCGGGAAACCGGAGCUAAUACCGGAUAAUAUUUUGAACCGCAUGGUUCAAAAGUGAAAGACGGUCUUGCUGUCACUUAUAGAUGGAUCCGCGCUGCAUUAGCUAGUUGGUAAG